rnacentral:tRNA from 1 species
UGGCUCAGUCGAUGGAGCAUGAGACUCUUGAUCUCGGAGUUGUGGGUUUAAGCCCCAC